AAGCCAACCUGACUCCCUUGCAGAUCUGGUAAAGGUAGCUGCUUGUCUCUGAUGAGCUGGAGACUUAGACAGGAGGUUGGCUGUGUCUGCACCUCUGGGAGACCAACCUUGCAUGCUUCAGUGACCUGGGAUUGAGUAUGACCCUGAUAACAAGCCAUAGGUGCACUCAGGAUUAAGCCACACAGAAAGCCACUCCCCACAUGGGUACAUUGCAGCCUUCACAGGAGAAGGAACACAGAAAUGAGAUAUUGCCAUGAUGCACCCUUCCUAUCUGUUGGAUGGAGUCACUGAACAUCAAAGCAGCUAAUGCUACCUAAAAAGGUCCACUUGACAUGGGUCCUUUGAUGCAAAGUAGCCAACUGUCCUAGGAGGUGAUGCUGACAAUGUGCAAACUGGACCUCGUGAAGGAUCUGAUGCCAGAAGCCUUUUGUAGGAAGAGGAAAGAGAGAGAAUGGAAAUGGCUCAGACACAACUCUGGGAGGUCAUGGCUGCAUCCCCACCUUGGGAGAGUCCCAGGACCAGCUGCUCAGCCCCUGAAGCCCCUUCCUUGCAAGGAAAAUUAGAGUGAUUUGGGAGAUUCUGAAGACACACACCCCAACCACAGUGUCAAAUGUUAUUCAAUACCCAAAAGAAAAAAGUAAAUACCCCAAAAUAACAAUAGCAUCAACAAUAUAAUUCCAUGAAAUCA